UACAGAGGUCUCAAGCGUUGUUCGGAAUUACUGGGCGUAAAGGGCUCGUAGGCGGCCAACUAAGUCGGAUGUGAAAUCCCCAGGCUUAACCUGGGAACUGCAUCCGAUACUGGAUGGCUUGAAUCCGGGAGAGGGAUGCAGAAUUCCAGGUGUAGCGGUGAAAUGCGUAGAUAUCUGGAGGAAUACCGGUGGCGAAGGCGGCAUCCUGGACCGGCAUUGACGCUGAUGAGCGAAAGCUAGGGGAGCAAACGGG
rnacentral:rRNA from 1 species